UUUACGCUUAAUUAAUUUAAAGGAAACAAAUAAUUUAUUAUGAGUGGAAUUUAAAAGCGUUAUUGUAAAUUUUAGUGGCGGACGGGUGAGUAAAGUAUAGAUAAUCUGCCUUUAAGAGAGAAAUAACUAAAAGAAAUUUUAGCUAAUGUCACAUAAGAUCACACUAUGGCAUCAUAGAGAGAUCAAAGGAGAAAUCCGCUUAAAGAUGAGUCUAUAUCUGAUUAGCUAGUAGGUAAGGUAAAAGCUUACCUAGGCAAUGAUCAGUAGCCGGGCUGAGAGGCUGAACGGCCACAUUGGGACUGAGACACGGCCCAGACUCCUACGGGAGGCAGCAGUUGGGAAUAUUGGACAAUGGGGGAAACCCUGAUCCAGUGACGUCGCGUGAAGGAAGAAGGUCUUCGGAUUGUAAACUUAUUUUAUCAAGGAAGAAAAAAAUGACGGUACUUGAAGAAAAAGCACCGGCAAACUACGUGCCAGCAGCCGCGGUAAUACGUAGGGUGCAAGCGUUAUCCGGAUUUACUGGGUGUAAAGGGCGAGUAGACGGUUAGGCAAGUCAGAUGUGAAAACUCA
rnacentral:rRNA from 1 species